rnacentral:rRNA from 1 species
UUUGCCUUACUCAUAUUGGGUCGUACCUGCACAAUGGCCUCCAGAAGAGGUUAAAUUGCCGCGGUACCCUGACCGUGCAAAGGUAGCGAAAUAAUUUGCCUAUUAAUUGUUGGCCAGAAAUGAAUGGUGUGACGCUGGUGGCGCUGUCUCGUCAGUACUGAUUUGAAUUUGACUUCUGGGUGAAAAGGCCCAGAUAAACCUGAAAGACGAUUAGACCCUGUCGAACUUUAAGUAGAUACGCUUAAGAAAAAAAUAAAGCGGGCACGCUUUUGGUUGGGAAAACCGGAGGUAAGAAAAAACACCUCCUCCUUUUGAGACACCCGUUAUGUGUAGGGUAAAAAAGAAUUUACCCUAAGGGCAAUUGGCCUAAUGGAUAGUAAAAAGAUAGGAGCAAUAAAAGUCCGACAGGACAUAAUUAACUUAUAAAACGAACCUAAAGACCUACUAAGUAGGAAGCUAUUAAUUAGGAAUAGUUACCGCAGGGAUAACAGCGUAAUCCUUCCGGCGAGACCACAUUAAUGGAAGGGUUUGCGACCUCGAUGUUGGCUUGGGGCUUCCUAGGGGCGAAGAGGCUCCUAAGGGUUGGUCUGUUCGACCAUUAAAGCCCUACGUGAUCUGAGUCAAA